UACGUAGGUGGCAAGCGUUGUCCGGAUUUACUGGGCGUAAAGAGCGCGCAGGCGGUCGUUCAAGUCGCGUGUGAAAGCCCCCGGCUCAACUGGGGAGGGUCACGCGAUACUGAUCGACUCGAAGGCAGGAGAGGGAAGUGGAAUUCCCGGUGUAGUGGUGAAAUGCGUAGAUAUCGGGAGGAACACCAGUGGCGAAGGCGACUCACUGGCCCGGUACUGACGCUGAGGUACGAAAGCGUGGGGAGCAAACAGG
rnacentral:rRNA from 1 species